rnacentral:rRNA from 1 species
UGGGGAAUAUUGGACAAUGGGCGAAAGCCUGAUCCAGCCAUGCCGCGUGUGUGAAGAAGGUCUUCGGAUUGUAAAGCACUUUAAGUUGGGAGGAAGGGCAUUAACCUAAUACGUUGGUGUCUUGACGUUACCGACAGAAUAAGCACCGGCUAACUCUGUGCCAGCAGCCGCGGUAAUACAGAGGGUGCAAGCGUUAAUCGGAAUUACUGGGCGUAAAGCGCGCGUAGGUGGUUUGUUAAGUUGAAUGUGAAAUCCCCGGGCUCAACCUGGGAACUGCAUCCAAAACUGGCAAGCUAGAGUAUGGUAGAGGGUAGUGGAAUUUCCUGUGUAGCGGUGAAAUGCGUAGAUAUAGGAAGGAACACCAGUGGCGAAGGCGACUACCUGGACUGAUACUGACAC